GAUGAACGCUGGCGGCGUGCCUAAUACAUGCAAGUCGAGCGAACAGACGAGGAGCUUGCUCCUUUGACGUUAGCGGCGGACGGGUGAGUAACACGUGGAUAACCUACCUAUAAGACUGGGAUAACUUCGGGAAACCGGAUCUAAUACCGGAUAACAUGUUGAACCGCAUGGUUCAACAGUGAAAGACGGUCUUGCUGUCACUUAUAGAUGGAUCCGCGCCGCAUUAGCUAGUUGGUAAGGUAACGGCUUACCAAGGCAACGAUGCGUAGCCGACCUGAGAGGGUGAUCGGCCACACUGGAACUGAGACACGGUCCAGACUCCUACGGGAGGCAGCAGUAGGGAAUCUUCCGCAAUGGGCGAAAGCCUGACGGAGCAACGCCGCGUGAGUGAAGAAGGUCUUCGGAUCGUAAAACUCUGUUAUUAGGGAAGAACAAAUGUGUAAGUAACUAUGCACGUCUUGACGGUACCUAAUCAGAAAGCCACGGCUAACUACGUG
rnacentral:rRNA from 1 species